UACGUAGGGUGCAAGCGUUAAUCGGAAUUACUGGGCGUAAAGCGUGCGCAGGCGGUUAUGCAAGACAGAUGUGAAAUCCCCGGGCUUAACCUGGGAACCGCAUUUGUGACUGCAUAGCUGGAGUACGGCAGAGGGGGAUGGAAUUCCGCGUGUAGCAGUGAAAUGCGUAGAUAUGCGGAGGAGCACCGAUGGCGAAGGCAGUCCCCUGGGCCUGUACUGACGCUCAUGCACGAAAGCGUGGGGAGCAAACAGG
rnacentral:rRNA from 1 species